AAGCCAUGCAUGUCUAAGUAUAAGUAUUAUACAGCGAAACUGCGAAUGGCUCAUUAAAACAGUUAUGGUUUAUUUGAUAAUCGAAUUUUACAUGGAUAACCGUGGUAAUUCUAGAGCUAAUACAUGCUGGUGUGCCUGACUUUUCGGAAGGGCGGUAUUUAUUAGAUAACGAACCAAUAUUCCUCUGGUCUAUUGUGGUGAAUCAUAAUAACUGAUCGAAUCGCAAAGCCCUUGGCUGCGAUAUGUCAUUCAAGUUUCUGCCCCAUCAGCUUUCGAUGGUAGUGUAUUGGACUACCAUGGCUUUUACGGGUAACGGAGAAUUAGGGUUCGAUUCCGGAGAGGGAGCCUGAGAAACGGCUACCACAUCUAAGGAAGGCAGCAGGCGCGUAAAUUACCCAAUCCUGACUCAGGGAGGUAGUGACAAGAAAUAACGGACCGGCCUUUUAGGUUCGGGAUUGCAAUGAGCCGAAUUUACACCCCUUAGCGAGGACCCAUUGGAGGGCAAGUCUGGUGCCAGCAGCCGCGGUAAUUCCAGCUCCAAUAGCGUAUAUUAAAGUUGUUGCAGUUAAAAAGCUCGUAGUUGGAUUUCUGGGGAGGUGCCAAUGUCACCUUUGUGUUGCGCAGCGGCGCCUCUCCAUCCUUCUGUUAACGUCGUUGGACCUUAAUCAGUCUGCGGCGGGCUCAGAUAUUUUACCUUGAGAAAAUUAGAGUGUUUCAGGCAGGCCAGGCCGGAAUACAUUAGCAUGGAAUAAUGGAAUAGGACUUUAGUCUCUUUGUUGGUUUGGGGGACUGCAGUAAUGAUUAAUAGGGAUAGUUGGGGGCAUUAAUACUUAACUGUCAGAGGUGGAAUUCUCAGAUUUGUUAAAGAUUAACUUAUGCGAAAGCAUUUGCCAAGGAUGUUUUCAUUAAUCAAGAACGAAAGUUAGGGGAUCAAAGACGAUCAGA
rnacentral:rRNA from 1 species